GUGGGGAAUAUUGGUCAAUGGUCGGAAGACUGAACCAGCCAAGUAGCGUGCAGGAUGACGGCCCUAUGGGUUGUAAACUGCUUUUGUGCGGGAAUAACGUUGUGCUCGUGAGCGCAAGUGCAUGUACCGUACGAAUAAGGAUCGGCUAACUCCGUGCCAGCAGCCGCGGUAAUACGGAGGAUCCGAGCGUUAUCCGGAUUUAUUGGGUUUAAAGGGAGCGUAGGCGGAGGAUCAAGUCAGCUGUGAAAUGUAGGCGCUUAACGUCUGCACUGCAGUUGAAACUGGUUCCCUUGAGUGCGUAAGGGGCAGGCGGAAUUCGUCGUGUAGCGGUGAAAUGCUUAGAUAUGACGAAGAACUCCGAUCGCGAAGGCAGCUUGCCGGGCCGCAACUGACGCUGAAGCUCGAAGGUGCGGGUAUCGAACAGG
rnacentral:rRNA from 1 species